UCUGGGAUCUGGAAGACAGACAGGAUUUUUGAAGAAUGCUCUUCAUUUAUAUUUUUCCAACAAAAUGACAACUAGAACAAUCAAUCCAAAAUCCUGUCUGUCUUCCAGAUCCCAGAGGAAGUACCAAAAAACAGUAUAAAAGUUAGCAGCCAAAUUCCCGAGGGAAAGAAGAAAGGAAUUCCAAUCUGUUGUGUUAGAUGACAAAAUGAUCUUUAUGAGAAUGGAGGAUAACGAGAAAAUUAGCCAAGAAACCCCAGAUUCUAAAAUUAAUGAGGCUUUAAGCAGGACAAAAGAAUGUCUCCCCCUACUCACAAAAAGGAGACAAUCAGACAACAAAAACCUUUACAUUUACAAGCAUCUGGUAGUUGGAAGUUAACGGAACAAAAAAAUAAUGACUGACCUUGUUGGAUUGAUUUUUAUGUUGGAAGACUGGCUUAUCAAACUUUUUAUGAUUUUAGCAGAUGGUUAAAAUUAUGACAAUCAGCUCCAACUUCACUCAAUGCCAUGUACAGCUUUGGCACAAUCUUAGCUAACAUUAGCUUGAAACCAACUGAAGUUAAAUUGGAAUUGUCAUUGUUGCUUAUAGAGGCAUCUUUGGUAAGAGAACCUAUUAAACUGCCUUUCAUGUAUGCAUCACAGGCCUUGAGAAUGUAGUAACCACGUUUCUUGAAAUGCUCUUUGACCAGGCCCUCAAAAUCCUUGGGGGGCUUUCGCAUAAGAUGCAUCAUUGUUUUGCAACUUAGUAAAAAUGUGUUUUCAUUAUACGACAGUGAAUUCUUCUCUCCUUCGGCUGUCCCAAUUUGUUUAUCAUAUCCAGCUUCAUUAAAAUAUGGCUUAGAAUUUAGCACUAAACCCUGAAGUGAAACUAGAACUUGAAGGAUGCUAGAAGAAU
rnacentral:misc_RNA from 1 species